rnacentral:rRNA from 1 species
UUAAGCGACUAAGCGUACACGGUGGAUGCCCUGGCAGUCAGAGGCGAUGAAGGACGUGCUAAUCUGCGAUAAGCGUCGGUAAGGUGAUAUGAACCGUUAUAACCGGCGAUUUCCGAAUGGGGAAACCCAGUGUGAUUCGUCACACUAUCAUUAACUGAAUCCAUAGGUUAAUGAGGCGAACCGGGGGAACUGAAACAUCUAAGUACCCCGAGGAAAAGAAAUCAACCGAGAUUCCCCCAGUAGCGGCGAGCGAACGGGGAGCAGCCCAGAGCCUGAAUCAGUGUGUGUGUUAGUGGAAGCGUCUGGAAAGGCGUGCGAUACAGGGUGACAGCCCCGUACACAAAAAUGCACAUACUGUGAGCUCGAUGAGUAGGGCGGGACACGUGGUAUCCUGUCUGAAUAUGGGGGGACCAUCCUCCAAGGCUAAAUACUCCUGACUGACCGAUAGCGAACCAGUACCGUGAGGGAAAGGCGAAAAGAACCCCGGCGAGGGGAGUGAAAAAGAACCUGAAACCGUGUACGUACAAGCAGUGGGAGCACGCUUAGGCGUGUGACUGCGUACCUUUUGUAUAAUGGGUCAGCGACUUAUAUUCUGUAGCAAGGUUAACCGAAUAGGGGAGCCGAAGGGAAACCGAGUCUUAACUGGGCGUUAAGUUGCAGGGUAUAGACCCGAAACCCGGUGAUCUAGCCAUGGGCAGGUUGAAGGUUGGGUAACACUAACUGGAGGACCGAACCGACUAAUGUUGAAAAAUUAGCGGAUGACUUGUGGCUGGGGGUGAAAGGCCUAUCAAACCGGGAGAUAGCUGGUUCUCCCCGAAAGCUAUUUAGGUAGCGCCUCGUGAAUUCAUCUCCGGGGGUAGAGCACUGUUUCGGCAAGGGGGUCAUCCCGACUUACCAACCCGAUGCAAACUGCGAAUACCGGAGAAUGUUAUCACGGGAGACACACGGCGGGUGCUAACGUCCGUCGUGAAGAGGGAAACAACCCAGACCGCCAGCUAAGGUCCCAAAGUCAUGGUUAAGUGGGAAACGAUGUGGGAAGGCCCAGACAGCCGGGAUGUUGGCUUAGAAGCAGCCAUCAUUUAAAGAAAGCGUAAUAGCUCACUGGUCGAGUCGGCCUGCGCGGAAGAUGUAACGGGGCUAAACCAUGCACCGAAGCUGCGGCAGCGACGCUUAUGCGUUGUUGGGUAGGGAGCGUUCUGUAAGCCUGUGAAGGUGUGCUGUGAGGUAUGCUGGAGGUAUCAGAAGUGCGAAUGCUGACAUAAGUAACGAUAAAGCGGGUGAAAAGCCCGCUCGCCGGAAGACCAAGGGUUCCUGUCCAACGUUAAUCGGGGCAGGGUGAGUCGACCCCUAAGGCGAGGCCGAAAGGCGUAGUCGAUGGGAAACAGGUUAAUAUUCCUGUACUUGGUGUUACUGCGAAGGGGGGACGGAGAAGGCUAUGUUGGCCGGGCGACGGUUGUCCCGGUUUAAGCGUGUAGGCUGGUUUUCCAGGCAAAUCCGGAAAAUCAAGGCCGAGGCGUGAUGACGAGGCACUACGGUGCUGAAGCAACAAAUGCCCUGCUUCCAGGAAAAGCCUCUAAGCAUCAGGUAACAUCUAAUCGUACCCCAAACCGACACAGGUGGUCAGGUAGAGAAUACCAAGGCGCUUGAGAGAACUCGGGUGAAGGAACUAGGCAAAAUGGUGCCGUAACUUCGGGAGAAGGCACGCUGAUACGUAGGUGAAGCGACUUGCUCGUGGAGCUGAAAUCAGUCGAAGAUACCAGCUGGCUGCAACUGUUUAUUAAAAACACAGCACUGUGCAAACACGAAAGUGGACGUAUACGGUGUGACGCCUGCCCGGUGCCGGAAGGUUAAUUGAUGGGGUUAGCGCAAGCGAAGCUCUUGAUCGAAGCCCCGGUAAACGGCGGCCGUAACUAUAACGGUCCUAAGGUAGCGAAAUUCCUUGUCGGGUAAGUUCCGACCUGCACGAAUGGCGUAAUGAUGGCCAGGCUGUCUCCACCCGAGACUCAGUGAAAUUGAACUCGCUGUGAAGAUGCAGUGUACCCGCGGCAAGACGGAAAGACCCCGUGAACCUUUACUAUAGCUUGACACUGAACAUUGAGCCUUGAUGUGUAGGAUAGGUGGGAGGCUUUGAAGUGUGGACGCCAGUCUGCAUGGAGCCGACCUUGAAAUACCACCCUUUAAUGUUUGAUGUUCUAACGUGGACCCGUGAUCCGGGUUGCGGACAGUGUCUGGUGGGUAGUUUGACUGGGGCGGUCUCCUCCUAAAGAGUAACGGAGGAGCACGAAGGUUGGCUAAUCUUGGUCGGACAUCAGGAGGUUAGUGCAAUGGCAUAAGCCAGCUUGACUGCGAGCGUGACGGCGCGAGCAGGUGCGAAAGCAGGUCAUAGUGAUCCGGUGGUUCUGAAUGGAAGGGUCAUCGCUCAACGGAUAAAAGGUACUCCGGGGAUAACAGGCUGAUACCGCCCAAGAGUUCAUAUCGACGGCGGUGUUUGGCACCUCGAUGUCGGCUCAUCACAUCCUGGGGCUGAAGUAGGUCCCAAGGGUAUGGCUGUUCGCCAUUUAAAGUGGUACGCGAGCUGGGUUUAGAACGUCGUGAGACAGUUCGGUCCCUAUCUGCCGUGGGCGCUGGAGAACUGAGGGGGGCUGCUCCUAGUACGAGAGGACCGGAGUGGACGCAUCACUGGUGUUCGGGUUGUCAUGCCAAUGGCACUGCCCGGUAGCUAAAUGCGGAAGAGAUAAGUGCUGAAAGCAUCUAAGCACGAAACUUGCCCCGAGAUGAGUUCUCCCUGACCCUUUAAGGGUCCUGAAGGAACGUUGAAGACGACGACGUUGAUAGGCCGGGUGUGUAAGCGCAGCGAUGCGUUGAGCUAACCGGUACUAAUGAACCGUGAGGCUUAACCUU